GUUCUUCAACACAACCAGCCCUGGCUUAGGCUAAAACGGUGUAACUUCAUUCGGGAAAGAGAAGCAAUAAUAAAGAUGCUGAAGCUGAUCUUACUCUUCUGUCUUCUGGCCUGUGUCGUAUGUCAAUCAUACCGAUCCAGGUAUGACUGGGAUCGUGAUACGUAUAGAAACGACUGGAACACACGUGGAAGCAGAAUAUGGAGAGAUAGGAGAGGAGACAGAUUGAGCGGGAGAAUAGGCCGAUUGGACUGGAGGGGAAGCAGAUUCGACAGGAGAACAGGCCGAUCGGACUGGAGGGCAGACAGAAUCGAUAGGAGAAUAGGCCGAUUGGAUUGGAGAGGAGACAGAUUAGAUAGGAGGGGAAGUAGAUUCGACAGAGAAUACUGAUGGAAAGACAAACCAGUUUUGAAAAGAUCCAGGUGACCAAAGAUUGAAAUUGAAAAAUCCAUACCAAACAUGCCAUUGAUACAUUCAUUUGUAAAUUCAUCAUAUUCAUGCUUUUUGAAAUAAAUCUUGAUAUUCAUCAAUA